GUACAAUGGCUAGAAUAGCAGUCGCCAACUGGCGGUCCAUAGACCACUGGUGGUAUGUGAGGUCUGAAAGGUUGUCAACCGCUGCUCUA